AUGAGGCCUGUGGAAUCUUUAUCAUCUUUGUGUUACAAAUGAGGCCUGAAGAGACAUGAUCUUCACAAUGUUACACAUGUGGCCUGGAGAGACAUGAUUAUCAUUUUGCUACAGAAUUGAUGAGGCCUGAGGAGACAUUAUAAUCAAUGUUUUAAGAAGAAGCCAGGGGAGACAUGACCAUCAGUGUGUCACAGAUGAGGUCUGGGGAGACUUUAUCAUUAUUGUGUUACAGAUGAGGUCUGGAUAAGGGAUCAUCAUUGUGCCACAAACAAGGACUGGGGAGACUUGAUCUGCGUUACAGAUGAGGUCUGGGGAGGCUUGAUCAUCAUUGUAUUAGAG